rnacentral:sRNA from 1 species
AGGCCGUGCUUAGGCCUCUGUGGACACACUGCUGGGGACGGCGCCUGAGCUCUCAGGGGGACGAGGAACACCACCAUGCCCCGGGGCUUCACCUGGCUGCGCUAAACACUACUUCCCCAUCAACUACAAGAUCAGUGUGCCUUACGAGGGGGUGUUCAGAAUCGCCAAUGUCACCAGGCUGAGGGCCCAGGUGAGCGAGCGGGAGCUGCGGUAUCUGUGGGUCUUGGUGAGUCUCAGUGCCACUGAGUCGGUGCAGGACGUGCUGCUCGAGGGCCACCCAUCCUGGAAGUACCUGCAGGAGGUGCAGAUGCUGCUGCUGAAUGUCCAGCAGGGCCUCACGGUGAGUUGUGCGGAGGAGUGGCAGGUGGGGGUGUGUGUGUGCACACGUGUGUGCAUGUGUGUGAGGUGUGGCCAAAGGCUAGUGAGGGAAAGGGUGAAUACACGGAAAGAUGGGCACAAGCAGAGGGACGUGGGAGAAGUGGGGGAGGGGUGCAGGAAAAGAGGCCUGUGGAAGGAAGAGGCAGCCGUGGUGGUCAUGAGAGCCGGGCUCGGGGUGCAGGCGAUGCCUCUGAGAC